CUUUCAGCGACGGAUAUCUCGG
rnacentral:rRNA from 1 species